GGCAGCAGCUAAGAAUAUUCCACAAUGGACGAAAGUCUGAUGGAGCGACGCCGCGUGGGCGAUGAAGGCCGUGAGGUUGUAAAGCCCUUUUCUUGAGGGGGAAUAAAGCGGGCAGGGAAUGGCCUGCAGAUGACGUGAACAAGGAAUAAGCCCCGGCUAACUACGUGCCAGCAGCCGCGGUAACACGUAGGGGGCGAGCGUUGUUCGGAAUCAUUGGGCGUAAAGGGCGCGCAGGCGGCCGUGUAAGUCUGGUGUAAAAUGGUUGUGCUCAACACAAUCAUGCGCUGGAAACUGCGGGGCUUGAGUCAACGAGGGGAUGCCGGAAUUCCAGGUGUAGGGGUGAAAUCUGUAGAUAUCUGGAAGAACACCAGUGGCGAAGGCAGGCAUCUGGCGACUGACUGACGCUGAGGCGCGAAGGUGCGGGGAGCAAACAGGUUUAGAUACCCUGGUAGUCCGCACAGUAAACGAUGUGCACCAGGCGGCGGGCAGCAGUGCUCGGUACCGAAGCAAACGCAUUAAGUGCACCGCCUGGGGAGUAUGCCCGCAAGGGUGAAACUCAAAGGAAUUGACGG
rnacentral:rRNA from 1 species